rnacentral:rRNA from 1 species
UCUUGAAAUUUAAAGGAUUUGGCGGUAUUUUAUUCUGCUUAGAGGAACCUGUCCUAUAAACGAUAAUCCACGCAAUAUUUCACUUUAGUUUGUAAUCAGUUUGUAUACCGCCAUAGUUUGGUUUUAUUUUAAAGUAGAUCCCAAGAUAGAUUACUAUCUAAGAUAUUAGGUCAAGGUGCAGCCAAUAUUAAAGGAGAGAUGGGUUACAAUAUAAUUAAUAUAUUUACGAAAGAGAAAGUUAAACUUUUCUUGGAAGGUGGAUUUAAUAGUAGCUAUAUUUUAAAAUGUUGUGGCGAACAUGCUCUAAAAUAUGUACACAU